rnacentral:lncRNA from 1 species
GUUUGGAUAAGCUGCAUUGUCACAGCACUGAGGCCCGGAAGAGCCAGAAAGAGGCCUCGGAGACCAUGGAAUCCAGUUCUUCCCUUGGGGAGGCCGGGGACCCUCCUCCAACUCUCUCAGCACAUUGCAUGGUUGCAUCCACCCACAUGCUCUGUGAGCUGCCUGAUCGCGGGUUAUCUUAUUUCCUCAGAGUCUGGGACUGUGCCUGGCACAAAGAAAAUAUUCAAAACCUGAUUGUUGAAUGAAUGAAUCAUCGGUAAAGCUCACACAUUAAUCCUGGGGCAGAGCUAAGAGCAGAGGCCAAAUAGCUUCCUUCCUUGUACCCCACUCUGCCCAUUUGUUCCCUGCUCAGAAACAUUAGGAGAUCCUCUGCCCACCCUCCUGAGGCCCUCACAGUAGGGUAGUUAAACAACCAUGCUCCACUUGGCCCCUCAGUAUGGCUCUGGCUUGAUGGGGAACACACCACCUGAAUCAGACCCUGGGUUUGAUGCUCAUCUCUGUCAUUUUCCAGCUGGUUGCCUGGGGGAAAACUGCUUAACUUCUCUGAGUGUCGAUUUCCACAUGGACCCUGCCAAUCUCAUGGAUUGUUGUCAAGUUCACACUUGGCCGUGAAUGUGAAAGCCGUUUGGAAACAGCCAUGCUGGGUGGGCAGAAGCCGCUGGAAGCUCCGGCAGUCAAGGUGGAGGGCAGGUGGUCAGGGCUGAGACUCCCUCACUGCAGCUGUGCCCUGGCUUACUUCUGGCGAGAAGGUGGGUGGGGUCCAGGUGUCAUCCCGUUGUGGGGCGUGGAGGCAAUGGGAACUUAGAGGUGACUGGGGAAAUCAGGAGAGAGAGAGAAGGGAAUCCCAGCAGGCGGGUGGCCCUGUUGACAGCGCGGAGCACAGAGCUGGCCCCUUGGGUGGCAGUGAACCACCCCUGAGGCCCGUCAUUCCCUCGCCCUCUGCAGGGAGGGUACAAGCUGUUGGGGACGCUGGCAAGUUCUGCUCCUAGGCAACGAAAUCACACACUGAAGAAUCAGGGUACCUGGUGCAUGCGCAAGUGUGUUAAGAAAUGUAAGCGGGCUUACCUGAUGUUAAAAUAAAAGGCUAAUUUAGUCAAACUGGUGAAAACAAUCAAGCGAUCUGCUGUUUGAGUUUUCACAGACAAACAAGCGACCGCCUUCUGAACACUCAGCUCUUCAGAGAAGAAAGCUGUUCCGCAUCCUGGGAGCCAGGCAUGGCACCAAGAGCAGAGUGGAUUCCAGGAUGGUGGGUAUCCAGGGUGCAGGAGGGAGGCGCCCGUUGACAGCCCACCCCCAGGAUGAUGGCAGAUUGACAGGGGGAUGCCAAGGUGCCUUUGGCAGCCGCCAUCAGGUGUUAUGUGAAGUUGGCAACUGGGAGUAAGGGGGUGAGGGUUUCAUUCAUCCCCACGGCCUGGACUCAGAAGAGCAAUGUUCACAGGAGGCGCGCGCUUGC